rnacentral:lncRNA from 1 species
UGGCAUUCCUGUUGAGGAAUCAAGUUGCACCUGACCCCUGUGCACUGAGUGCACUAAAGAUUCAUUGCAAGUCUUUGCCUCUGCACCCUCCACAUUGCAUUGAAUAAUCUGUGUGUCUGUUUUCUCCCACUAGGUUUUCAAUUUGUCAAAGAUAAGGAGGUAGUUGCCCUGCACUUUGUAUCUUCAGCAUUUAACACACUCCCUGGCAUAGAUAUUGUUUGUUUGAUGCUUAAAUAAAACAAACUGAAAGACCUUAUAGUUAAGUGAAAGAUAAAUACAAUUAAAGUGUUAUCGGUAUGUAUGCUCUGGAAAUAGACAUGUGAUGGUUAAUAUUGAGUGUCAACUUUAUUGAAUUGAAGGAAGCAAUGUAUUGUUCCUGGUUGUGUCUGUGAGGGUGUUGCCAAAGGAGAUAAACAUUUGAGUCAGUGGACUGAGAGAGGCAGACAGACCCACUCUCGUUCUGAGUGGGCACCAUCGAAUCAGCUGCCAAUGCCGCUAGAAUAAAGCAGGCAGAAGAAAGUGGAAUGAGCAGACUUGCUGAGUCUUCCAGCCUUCAUUUUUCUCCCAUGCUGGAUGCUUCCUGCCCUCCAAAAUCAGACUCCAAGUUCUUCAGCUUUUGGACGCUUGGACAUACACCAGUGGUUUGCCAGGGGCUCUUGGGCCUUUGGCCACAGGCAAGGCUACACUGUUGUCUUCACUACGUUUGAGGUUUUCAGACUUAGACUGGCUUCCUUGCUCCUCAGCUUGAAGAUGGCCUAUUGUGGGACUUCAACUUGUGAUCCUUGAACUACUCAUGGGUCACGCAGCCUCGACAUCCGGGCUCAAGAGAUCAGAUCCUCCCACCUCAGCCUCCCUAGUAGCUGGGAUUGCAGGUGAGUGCCAUCACUCUGUCUAAUUUUUUUUUUUUUUUGGUAUUUUUUUUUGUAGAUAUGUGGUUUCACCAUAUUGCCAAGUUGGUCUUGAACUCUUGGACCCAAGAGAUCCAGCCACCUUGCUUGGAGUACGGGGAUUACAGGCACGAGCCACCGUGCCUGGCCAACAUUUCUUUUAUUUCAUCCUUAAAUGAUUGACUUUUGACAGAGUAGUUCUACUGAAACAUUCCUUAAAUGCUUGGGCUUCUACAGCUAUCUUCAUUCUGUUCUCAUUCUUUGCACUUAUAUCCCACUAAUGGAGAAAGAGCUUUUGAUUCCCUUCCUGCCAUCUUUUCUUCCAUUUCUGUAACACUGGAAAAUCAAGUAAGUCAAUGCUGUGUAAAUUUAAUUCCAGAGCAACUUUUCCCCAUCAGGUGCCUGACAACUGGGCCUAAUUGGGCCUAAUUGGAGACUGACUUGCUGUGUCAUCUGGCCUCUAUUUGAUGACAUGUGUUAAUCCAAAGGUCAUGGGUAGGGAACUAAGUUAAGAAUCACUUUACUUUCAUCCAAGAUGGAAUAGAACUUGAUGAGCUCACUUAUUUCAAUCAAGCUUCUUGAGGCCUGACAAGUCUCAUAAAGAAACACAUACCAUUUAUGUCAUGACUAAAAUAUUACAGUGACCAGAACGUCCCACCCCACUGCUGAGCUCCUCAAAAUCACAGACAAAUAUACUCUAAAGUAACCCACUGGUCUUUGACAUCAGACUGCAUAGUCCAUUACCAAAACAUGGAGCCCAGAAAAAGGUAUAAAGAAAGUUAAUUAUUUUGGUAUCAAAACUAUUAUAAUUCUUAGGAAAUUCACUCUGAAUUCAGAUUCAGGAGAGCCUACUAUACUGUAUCAUUCUGACACCUGCCGCUGCUCCAGAUCCUCAAAGUGCAAGUGAGACCUUGUGCUUUUAUGGGUGCCCACAAAGCAACUCAUAUCUGAGAUAUCAGGGAGCAUAUCUACCUUUCCAGAUUCUAUGCACUCUCUUUCUCAUUUCCUCUUCCCCUACUAUUUUGUCAGUCCAUAAAAGUUUAUCAUUCUUCCACUUAACCAUUACCACUUUAGAACAAAACCACCCUCUUCUCUCACUGGAGUGCCACUUUUCUGUGGUCAUGAGUGUUUCCUUAUCAUUUAUUCUCUACAUAGAGGUCAGAUGAUUACAUGUAAAUCCAGUUAUGGCCCUCUUAAAACCAUCUAAUAAAUUCCCAUCCCUCUUAGAAUUAGAAUCAAAUCCAAACUCUAUGCCAAACCGCGAAACACCCAUCUUGAUCUGUGUUCUGGCCUCUUUCCAACCACUGUCCUCUUCAAUGCACUCUUUCCAGUGACUUUCAUGUGUUUCCUAAAACACAUCUAGUUUUUUCCUUCUGUCCCUCAGUAUCUUCCCUCUGAAGGUAAUACUUCUCUCUGAUGAGAUAGCCCAUCAUCAUUUAGGUUUGCUCAAAGUCAUUUUCUCAUAAAAACAUCCUAUCAACUUUAUCUAGAAGAGUAUCCUUCCUCCUUGCCAGAUAUUCUAAUUUCUUGAGAGAAAUAAUCAUUUUACAAAUAGUUUUCAUAUUUGUUAACUUCUUAAGGCAUAAACGUUACAUGGUUCACUAAUCUAUCUCCAGCGAUAAACUAAUAUCUAGCAUAUAAUAGGAGGUCAAUAAAUAUUUGAAUGAAGGAAUGCCCGCCUCCCACUCCUAAUCUCUGUACUGUCUUCUCCAUUUACGCCGAGGUGAUCAGUUACUCCAGUUUCCAUCUUUUCUUUGUUUUGUUCUGUUUUCUGUUUUUCCUGGAUGAAGCUUGAAGAAGAUUUUAGAUACCGGGAAGGGAAAGAAAGAAAGGAUGAAAGGAAGGAAGGAAAAAUGGAAGAGAAAGAGAGAGAAAGAAGGAAGAAACAAGGGAGGGAGGGAAGAAAGAAAUUCUGAUUAGAAACUUCAGAGUUUAAUUGGGCAAUUUAUAAAAGAAAGGGGCAUAGCCUUAAUACUUUCUAAUACAAAAAAAAAUUCUUCUUUAUUCUCUCAUUUUAGUUGCAUUACAGAAGUUUCCUUUGAAUUUUCUUGCUUGCUCAGUUCUGUAUUCAAAGAAAGGCAGUAGGGAUUAUCCUGUGCACCCGGAUCUCAAGCUCUCAGACUCAUAGAUGCCUAACAGAGGAUAAAGAAAAAGGAAAGUUAUUACUGCCUCAAAAGCUAAGAUAUUUUAAACAGACCUCAAAUUAAAGUUAUUACUGCCUCAAAAGCUAAGAUAUUUUAAAUUCACCACAAAUUAGAAUCAUUAAUUUAAAAUAGUGCCAUUACCACAGUGUAAUAUGCCUCCAGCCUUACUAAUCUUCUUGAAUGCUGGUGAAUAGUCAAGAAACAGCUGGACUUAACAGGAUUGGAGUUUACCAGAUUAAUGCUGCAGAAGGAAAGGGAGGCUAAACUGAAUUUAAAAGAAAAGGAAUAGAUAGGGCAUAUAGACAGUGGGAAAAUAAUAGGGUUAGUCAGUGAUCACAGUUGGUGGGAGAUGGUUGGAAUGUGGGGCCAUCAAAGAUGAACCAUGCAAAAUUGCAAUAUUGAAGGUAUUAAAGUUUUGAUCAUGAUAAGGUCUAAGUUAUGGCCAUGCAAAAAAAGGUAACUACUCUACCCCUAGGCUUUGCAUAUCUGAGGUGGAUGUUAAUAGCCAUGUACCAUACCCGCCAUUAUAAAAACUAUAAACAAAAAUAUCUGUGGAAAAGCAGUGACUUUAGGAGAAUGAUUUGAAAUACAAAAAAAAAAAAAUUAAUGGAAUGUUUACAGAAGAAAUUAUGUAUAUAGGUUUCAAAGGCUGGGAUUUGUCUGCCAACGUUACCUAUGUUGAUGUCCUAACCCCCAGGACCUCAGAAUGUGAUUAUGUUUGAAAAUAGGAUUUUUAAAGAGCGAAUUAAGUUAAAACAAAGUGGUUAUUGUGGGUCCCAAUUCAGUAUGAUUAGCACCUUUAUUAGAAGAGGAAAUUUGGAUACAGUUAUAAAGAGAAGACCAUGUGAACAGACAGGAAGAAGAUGGCUAUCUAUAAGCUAAGGAAAAAGGCCUCAGAAGAAAUCAGUCUGGGAACACCUUGAUCUCACAUUUCUGGCCUCCAGAAUUGUGGGAAAACAAAUUGAUGUUUAAGCCAUGCAGUUUGUGGCACCUUGUUAUGGUGGCCCUGGCAAACCAAUACAAUCUGAGUUCCAGAGGGCAUAGUCAACAGGUUUGAUGGGUCAAGAUGGGGAGUGAUCAGAUCAUGAGUCAAAUUACAGAACAAGCAGAAAAAGAAUGGAGAUAGGAAUAUGGUGAUAUUAAAUGACCUAGAAAACUAGAACUUCUUGUAUUUACUGAAGAAAACAGAAAUAUAGGAUACACCAGGAUUAAACCUGGUGGUCUUUUAUGAAAAGAAUACUAUUUAAGUAUAGCUUGCAUCAUGGAGUUAAUCUUUUAGAUAGUAGUGAAGAGGCAAGAAUUUUUAAGGAUAUGAACAGUUGUAUCACUA